rnacentral:rRNA from 1 species
CCUACGGGAGGCAGCAGUGAGGAAUAUUGGUCAAUGGACGAGAGUCUGAACCAGCCAAGUAGCGUGAAGGAUGACUGCCCUAUGGGUUGUAACCCUCUUUUGUCGGGGAGCAAAAGACGCCACGCGUGUCGUUCCGAGAUUACCCGAAGAAAAAGCAUCGGCUAACUCCGUGCCAGCAGCCGCGGUAAUACGGAGGAUGCGAGCGUUAGCCGGAUUUAUUGGUUUGAAUGGGUGCGCAGGCGGAAGAUCAAGUCAGCGGUAAAAUUGAGAGGCUCAACCUCUUCGAGCCGUUGAAACUGGUUGUCUGGAGUGAGUGAGAAGUAUGCUGAAUGCGUGGUGUAGCGGUGAAAUGCAUAGAUAUCACGCAGAACUCCGAUUGCGAAGGCAGCAUACCGGCGCUCAACUGACGCUCAUGCACGAAAGUGUGGGUAUCGAACAGGAUUAGAUACCCCUGUAGUC